rnacentral:lncRNA from 1 species
GCUGGAUGUGCAGUGUAAUAUGAGAUUGGUUGGAAAACCAAAAAGUUAAUUUACACAUUAUGGUUAAACAUGGGUAUCCUUGUGUAGUCCUUUUCAGUAUUCCUGUUUGCAUGGUGGUUGGGAUCAUCCCCUGGAGAAGUGAGCCAUGGGUUCUUGGUUCUGAGAUUCUUUUCUCUAGCCUGACCCUUUAACAUGGCUGUGACUCCUACCUCUGCCACAGACAACCAAGUCUUCCAGGCCACUAUCCAUGGAGCAGCUGACAGUGAAUGGAAGGAGUGGUCAGUCCUUUGGGUACAUACUUUAUGAGACCACCAUCUUCAAUGGAGGCCUCCUCACAUCACGGGGUCAUAUUCAAGACCGGGCCCAGGUGUUUUUGGAUAAGGACUAUGUAGGACUUUUGGA